UGUCAUAUGGGGAUCAUAACAUCUUCAUACUGGAUUGUCUUACGUGUCAUUAAGUAAGUGGGCCUUAGGCAUCAAGCAUAUGGCCUCCGAGGUGCAGUGUCUGCCGGCGCCAUGGGUCUCUGCCACCACCUGGUCGUCAUCGUUUCUGUGUCUUCUCCUGUGUUUAAGAACAAAGAUCCUGCAGCCUCCGUGCACUCUGGUCAGCUGACCACACAGCUUUUUAGCAAAAUAAUCAAAUAUAAGUACAAGUUUAUAUGGAAAAUAGAAAAUUUAGGUAGAUUUUUUACAUGAUAAUGCAUUUGACAACACGGGGUUUGAAUCCUGGCACCGCCACUGGCGAGCACCCUCUUAUGUGCCCUGCUUCUGCCGUCGACUUCCCUUCCCUGAUCUACUCUGCUGCUGUGGUGAGGAAGAAAGCUGUGGUUGUGGGCUUGUGGCUGCUGUGACGAGGAAGAAGGCUGUGGUUGUGGCUGCUGGAGAGGAAGAAGACAGUGGUUGUGACUGCUGUGGGGAGGAAGAAGGGAGUGUUAGUGUCUGCUGUGGUGAGGAAGAAGGGAGUGGUUGGGGCUCUUGUUGUGGG
rnacentral:lncRNA from 1 species